GACGAACGCUGGCGGCGUGCUUAACACAUGCAAGUCGAACGGAAAGGCCCUGCUUUUGUGGGGUGCUCGAGUGGCGAACGGGUGAGUAACACGUGAGUAACCUGCCCUUGACUUUGGGAUAACUUCAGGAAACUGGGGCUAAUACCGGAUAGGAGCUCCUGCUGCAUGGUGGGGGUUGGAAAGUUUCGGCGGUUGGGGAUGGACUCGCGGCUUAUCAGCUUGUUGGUGGGGUAGUGGCUUACCAAGGCUUUGACGGGGAGCCGGCCUGAGAGGGUGACCGGCCCACUGGGGAUGGAGAUACGGCCAGACUCCUACGGGAGGCAGCAGUGGGGAAUAUUGCACAAUGGGCGGAAGCCUGAUGCAGCAACGCCGCGUGCGGGAUGACGGCCUUCGGGUUGUAAACCGCUUUCGCCUGUGACGAAGCGUGAGUGACGGUAAUGGGUAAAGAAGCACCGGCUAACUACGUG
rnacentral:rRNA from 1 species